GGGGCCGACAGGUUUUGACAGCAGGCAGAAAGAGCGAGUAAGCAUGCCGAGCGUCGUGAAUGUGGCUCGUUAAUACCAGUUCUCAACAUCUAAAAGGCGAAUCUAAUUACGCUUUGGCUGCUUAAUCCUUAAGGAUUAACCGGCCAUGUUUCCCGGGAAGCCACUCCUGCCGGCGUCCCGACCGAAGCAUCGAAAAUGGCGGGAUAGCUCCGGAUACGUUCCGGAUACGGGGCAAAACUAAAGGAACUAAGUUGGCAAUAGCCCUGUCUUAUGGCAGUUGCCUCCCUACAACCAAAUAAGACUAAGCACGUAGAAAGCCCGUUGUUUCCUUGUUUGGACGAGGGUUCGAAUCCCUCCGGCUCCACUG
rnacentral:tmRNA from 1 species